ACACUCAGUCAGCAGCGGCAGCAGAAAAGCAGCUCCAGCAAAGGGAAGGGAACAGCAAAAGACUCUUUCCUUUCCAAGCUUGCCGAGGAGUACAUGGAGCUGUCAGAGUACAACCUCAGACAUGAGCAGCCAUGGCAGGAAUGGUGAGAUGGAUCCAAAGGCAGAACCAGGCCAGUUUAUGUCUCUCCUGGAUAAGGGAGUCAGCCCCAUCACUGAGGUAGUUGGCACUCACAGGCCUUUCCAAAACCCAGAAGAGGAAAUUCCCAAAUGGAUCCUUACUGCAGAAUGACCUCACUGGCUGGAUGAACAUGCUGGAUGCUCCUUGAAUAAACCAUACCUUGGCAAAC